UAUAAUCUUAGACAAAUUUUCUCUUUAUUUUCGUUGGGAUAUUUUUCUAAUCUG
rnacentral:tRNA from 1 species